rnacentral:rRNA from 1 species
UACGAAGGGGGCUAGCGUUGUUCGGAAUUACUGGGCGUAAAGCGCGUGUAGGCGGUUCUUUAAGUCUGGGGUGAAAUGCCAGGGCUCAACCUUGGAACUGCCUUUGAUACUGGAGACCUUGAGUCCGGGAGAGGUGAGUGGAAUUGCGAGUGUAGAGGUGAAAUUCGUAGAUAUUCGCAAGAACACCAGUGGCGAAGGCGGCUCACUGGCCCGGAACUGACGCUGAGACGCGAAAGCGUGGGGAGCAAACAGG